UACGGGGGGAGCAAGCGUUGUUCGGAUUUACUGGGCGUAAAGAGCGCGCAGGCGGUCGUGCAAGUCGCGUGUGAAAGCCCCCGGCUCAACUGGGGAGGGUCACGCGAUACUGCUCGACUCGAAGGCAGGAGAGGGAAGUGGAAUUCCCGGUGUAGAGGUGAAAUUCGUAGAUAUUCGCAAGAACACCAGUGGCGAAGGCGGCUCACUGGCCCGAUACUGACGCUGAGGCACGAAAGCGUGGGGAGCAAACAGG
rnacentral:rRNA from 1 species